GAUAGUAGUAAGCAGAAUAACAGGCAGGUAAACUGGCUGGGAAAGCAGACUGAGGGACUGACAUGGGAGACACAGGACUACUAUGAGGAGCUGAACAGCAAAUGAGACACAGGUGGAAACGAUUAAGGCAGAGCAGAUAAUCACAGAGAUGGGAAAACAAAGGACCAAAGCUACACAAAGAAAGUGAUUACUGAAGGAAGAAUGAAAAUGAUUACAAAAGAACAACAUGAAACUGACACAACACACAGUUAGUAUUCACUAAUUACCAGAACUCACCUGGUUCCUCGACACUGCUCCGUUUGGACUUGCCUACUCACUAAUCACCUACCUGCCUGCCCUCCUGGACUGGGGAGCAUAAUCCGUUGGUUUUCCUUGGCUCAGAAACCCCUCAAACCCCUCUUGAUACCUCCUCCUGAGAAUGUCAGCUCACAAUGCUUUCCCUCCCUGUGACCCUGGACUCUUGUUCUGACCUCUCCCAUAUUAGCUGGUUUCUCAUAGUCAGUUGUUUCAAUAAAGUGUUUGC